CGCAAGUCGUGCGGUAAGGUUCUCACAGUUUGCUGGAUACGAAGACAGGACGCGGGGAUUUCUUGAAAAGAAAUCAGCCGCAUCAAUCACGAAGUGAUUGAACACUAGCUUCGAGUCUAUCAAGCAAGAUGUGAGAACACACGAGCGGCGGACGGGUGAGUAAUGCAUAGGAACGUGCCCCAAGGUGAGGGAUAACUGCUCGAAAGAGUAGCUAAUACCGCAUAUUAUCUUCGGAUCAAAGCUUCGGCGCUUUGGGAGCGGCCUAUGUCUGAUUAGCUAGUUGGUAGGGUAAAUGCCUACCAAGGCGACGAUCAGUAGCUGGUUUGAGAGGAUGAUCAGCCACACUGGGACUGAGACACGGCCCAGACUCCCACGGGAGGCAGCAGUAGGGAAUUUUCCACAAUGGGGGCAACCCUGAUGGAGCAACGCCGCGUGCAGGAUGAAGGCCUUCGGGUCGUAAACUGCUUUUAUCUGUGACGAUUUUGACGGUAGCAGAUGAAUAAGGAUCGGCUAACUACGUGCCAGCAGCCGCGGUCAUACGUAGGAUCCAAGCGUUAUCCGGAAUUACUGGGCGUAAAGAGUUGCGUAGGUGGCAGAGUAAGCGAAUCAUGAAAUCUUAUGGCUCAACCACAUGGCUAUGAUUUGAACUGCUCAGCUUGAGCACGAGAGAGGUAACUGGAAUUCCUAGUGUAGGAGUGAAAUCCGUAGAUAUUAGGAGGAACACCGAUGGCGUAGGCAGGUUACUGGCUCGUUGCUGACACUAAGGCACGAAAGCGUGGGGAGCAAAUGGGAUUAGAUACCCCAGUAGUCCACGCUGUAAACGAUGGGAUGCUAGCUGUUAUGAGUAUCGACCCUCGUAGUAGCGAAGCUAAACGCGUUAAGCAUCCAG
rnacentral:rRNA from 1 species